GAUGGACGCUAGCUACAGGCUUAACACAUGCAAGUCGAGGGGAAACGACAUCGAAAGCUUGCUUUUGAUGGGCGUCGACCGGCGCACGGGUGAGUAACGCGUAUCCAACCUGCCCAUCACUUGGGGAUAACCUUGCGAAAGUAAGACUAAUACCCAAUGAUAUCUCUAGAAGACAUCUGAAAGAGAUUAAAGAUUUAUCGGUGAUGGAUGGGGAUGCGUCUGAUUAGCUUGUUGGCGGGGUAACGGCCCACCAAGGCGACGAUCAGUAGGGGUUCUGAGAGGAAGGUCCCCCACAUUGGAACUGAGACACGGUCCAAACACCUACGGGAGGCAGCAGUGAGGAAUAUUGGUCAAUGGGCGAGAGCCUGAACCAGCCAAGUAGCGUGCAGGAAGACGGCCCUAUGGGUUGUAAACUGCUUUUAUAAGGGAAUAAAGUGAGUCUCGUGAGACUUUUUGCAUGUACCUUAUGAAUAAGGACCGGCUAAUUCCGUGCCAGCCGCCGCAGUAA
rnacentral:rRNA from 1 species